UGAAGACCAGCAAAGCCAAUGGGGAAAGCUGGAUUCACUUAACGAAGAACAUGAUUUGCUUAACGAGUACAAUGAUUUGCCUGACCACCGUGGAAAAAAAGUUUGUAAACGUGACCCACUUAAAAACCGCCUUGUUUAGCAAUGGAAAUUCUGGUCCCGAUAGUGUUUGUAAGUUGAAGACUUACCUGUACUAUGUGACUCAUAUAAGCCCUGUUCUUCCUCCAAUUCUAUCACCUCCAUGUUUAUUAAUACAUCUGGGUAUUUUUCCUCUUGCUGAGCAGAAGAAGAUAAUGAUUAUGUUAUGCUGCAUCAUCCUCAUCAUUAUCCUGGCUUCUACACUUGGGAGCUUCUUUAUGUGAACACUCAUUCCUUGUUCUUGGCCAUUUGUUUCAGGGUGGAUCUGUAAGAUGAUUUUGGCCUUUCAGGCUUCCCCAAUCCUUUAUCUCCUGUUCUUCCACUUUUGGAAAUGUCAUAGCCAAUGAUUAACCUAUCAAAAUGUCUUAGUUGAUGCAAAGAGGGGAAGAAGGAGCCAGAAUAGAGCAAUGCCUAGAAACUUCAGCUUGGAAGGGGGAAGUGAACAUUACAACAUAAGGGUCUUUUUUAUAACUAGUACCAAAAGCCAACCAACCUAUAUCUUGACUGAUCGAUCAAAAUUAAUGCUUAGGUUGUAUGGGACAUCAUUAUCAGUUAUGCUGGCUCCUUCUACCCAGUGUAAACUUUUUGGCAUUGAAACCCAGUUCUUGGGAGACAUUUUAAAUGAUUCUUAUGGAAUACGAUAAUAAGCUCCAUAUUCCCCUGCCUUAUCUUUGCUAUCAAAAUCUAUAUGCACCUCCUUGCUUUUAAAUGUGAGGUGUUUUCCCUGGCUGUACUUUCUGCUUGCGCUAUAUCAAAUGUCAAAAUAAAUUAUUUGUUCCAAGAUUCCUCCCGAGACACUCUUAGCUACAAUAAUAUGAAAUUAGACAUCCGGACAAAGAUCUGUCCCAUAUUUUCUCACCUUCUGAAUAAUACCCAGAACAAUCUUUGUUAAACCUUGUGAUUCCAGUUACAGAUAUGUUUAUAUUUCUAGCUCAUUUAACUGCAUGACAGCAAAUUUUGACGCAAGCUGCAGGCAUCUGUAGUGGAGGCAAGGCUUUAAUGUUCAUGAAGAUGAUUUGUUUGGACAUCAACUGUAUCAACAUAUUUUUACAUACUGUACUGACUUAAUACAUUUCUUACAUACUAAAAGUUUGUCUUUUAUUUAAAGAAUUAAAACUUAUUUAUUCAAGCAUGUAAUAUUUAUUGCUUUGGAUUGUGGCCCUGGUUAGGAUGAGUGAGCAUGGUUAGCAUAUGAUUCAUUUUAUCCUGGUCCAAUGAUACCGAUUUAGCUUCCAUUUGGGUAAACAUCUAUUUUCCCCUUUGAAAUGAAUUCCUCAUUAGACAGGGAAAGGGAGAUAUUUGCAACUAUAUAAUGAACGAUUCUAGUAAUUCCAGAUUUAAGUUAUUCUGCUACUGUUCCAAAAGCAUAGAUAUUAACAAAGGAAUCUUCCUGAAUAAAAAGUUUAUUUCUCGAGAAUCGUGUGAUGGACUAAGUCAAUAAAGAAUUACUCAGAUACAGUAGUAUGUGGAGAGAAAAAAGAAAUUUGGGUCUUAGAAUCUCUUAGGAUCUUCCCAGUUCAGUUCCAAAUACUGGAAUAACUUCUUUUCCAUCUAAAUUUAUAGCAGGGGGUAAAAGUGUAAAAAUGCACACUUUUAAAAAAAUCUAUAUACUAAUAAAACGUUUGUGUUUGUUUGUAACAUUCAAUUGGUCAAAGAAGUACAUCACAGGACAAUUUUUGAAUCAACAUACCUCAAAUGGGCUAACUUACAGAAUGCGACCAAAAUCCGGGACCCAUGACUCCUGUGGGAUUGAAAUGUGGCAAAUUUGUGGCAACUUAGUGCUGCCAUAAUCAACUGCAGUUACAUUAUUGUCAUUUCCAAUGCUCCCUGCCAAUUUCCCACAAACCAUGUCUUUGCUUGUAGGAUGCUGGCAGACAGUAUCAGGAACAGGGAAGCAGGCAGUAGAGGUCGCAUAUUGCUCAGGUACAUUUCCCCCAUGUGUACAAUCUCCCCAUUCCUUUCUGUGCUCAUGCCACACCAAUCAAUCAUACAACUUUCCUGACCCAUGCUGAAUCCUGCACACACUCCCCAACCUAGAAGGUGUCUCUGCACAUGUUGGUGCACCCUGCUCAACCUACACUACACUCCCCAUGCCCUCCUUGAUUCCUCCACUUCUUCUGCACCUUCUCCGACCUAUGCUGUAUCAUGCCACACCCUAAACCAACUGGCACCAUUCAUACACCCUUGCACAUACUUCCAAACCCAUGCAGCACCCUCAUGCAUCCUUCCGGUCCUGUGUAACACCUCAUGCAGCUUUAUGCCUCCUCCCCAACUCACGCCACUCUUCCCCGACCUGCUGAGCACCCCUUGUGCACUCCCAUCUACUCUUCCUCAUCCAUGCUGCACACCUUGCUCCAACCCACAUAGUACCUAUUUUUUUAUUGUCAAUUGAGAUGCUGGCAGAAAGGGGGAGGAAAAAAAGAGGGAGGGUAGGCAGGAAGGACAAGGAAGGAAAGGAGAUAAGAGGGUGGCAAGGCUAUUUCUCACUUCCUGCCAAUGUCCCAUAAGGAAACUGGGGAAGUUGACAGGAAAUUGGAAAUCACUCCUGCUCCCAUUGAUUUUCUUUGCCUUCCUGUGGUCAUAUUGUUUGUUUAUGUAAGGAAAUAUCUCUGAAACGAGGACCCAAUGGAUUGUGAAUUGUCCAGUUUUUAUUAAAGGCUGCCUAUACCAUCUGACUAGUAUUUGUUAGUCUUUUAAUUAACACAUAAGAGUAGCAGCAGCAAAUGGAAGCUUUAUUUUUACUUCUACAUUGAUCCCAGAUACAUUUUUUAUUGUAGUAAAUAACAAUGGUGUGAUGGCAUAUGGUAUGUCCUUGGGAAACAGGAGGAAGAUUCUUGCCUGGGCUGCAACUCUUCCUCCUUCUCCCAAAGUCAUUCCCACAUACCAUUACAAAUGAUGAAUAGCCAUAUCAGUGCUUUGUGUUUGGAAAUGAACACUCACUCAAAGAAAAGGGUAUGCUGGAAGGGUAGGAAGUACUUCACUGGUUACUGUCUGGUAAAUUUCUACUGAGAAAGAUAGCAGCCAUUUUGUGAAUAGGAAAUAAUUCCCAUAAAAUGUUCUAAAAUGCCCAGCAUGUCUAUUGAGCUGUG